UCAAAGCUGAUCGGCUCGCCAUCUAGUAGCGAGUAGUGAAAGCAGCAAACUGAGCAGCUCGACAAGCAAACUAGCCGUUUGGAUCCACGCCAAGCCUUGGAAAGAGCCUGCGUAGUCUCGCGUGCAUGGUUCAAGCACGGCGUUGGUUUCGGUUGUUCGUGUGCAAGUGCAUUCUGUGGUGAACGAUGCCGUCGUCUGUAUUGUGGGACCCGCAAUAUCUAGCGACUCUUGGAUGGGACGACAUCGAGGCGCUUAUGACAAGGGCGCCGGAGGUGCAGCCCAGAGUGUACGUCUCGCGACACGGGUUGCUGAACAUUGCGGAAAUGCCAUCCGAUGUUUUUCGACGGCAUUUUCGUUUUGAAAAAGCAGACUUCUCUGUCCUACAACGGGCACUGCGCAUUCCGGAUCUCGUAACGAGCGCCCAAGGUGUUCACGUUCGUGGUUUGGAGGCGUUGUGUAUUUGUUUGAAGCGGCUGGCCUACCCAAACCGCCUUUGUGAUCUGCAGCACUUCUUCGGCCUUCACUACUCCGUAAUAUCCAGCAUAAGCAACAAAGUGCUGGAUCAUAUAGAGGUGACGUUCGGCCAUCUCUUGGAUGACCUCACCAAACAUCAAUGGCUCUCACUGAACGACUUGGACGAGCUUUCUCAGGCAGUGCACAACAAAGGCGCAGCUUUACAGAACUGCUGGGCCUUCAUUGAUGGGACUGCACGGCCCAUCUGCAGACCAUCCGAAGACCAACAUGCCUAUUUUUCUGGACAUAAGAGAUUGCACGUCCUCAAGUACCAAGCGGUGAUGUGUGCUAAUGGGCUUGUUUGUGAGCUCGAUGGCCCGUAUCCAGGAAGGAGACACGAUGCAGGCAUUUUGCACGAGAGUGGACUGUACGAGAAACUGGAAACCUUGGUCCAAGGCAAAGAAUAUGUGAUCUACGGGGACCCAGCAUAUCCUCUGCGGCCGCUACUCAUGAAGCCGUACGGUGGUGCCUACCUCACUGAAGCACAGCAACAGUUCAACACAUCUAUGAGCUCAGUGAGACAAGCAGUGGAGUGGGGAUUUGGAAAAGUUAUAUCACAGUUUGCUUUUCUAGAUUUCAAAAAAAAACCAGAAACUUCUGCUUCAAAAUGUUCCCCGCAUGUACAGAGUUGCAGUGAUUCUCAUGAACUGUCAUGCCUGCAUGUAUGAGAAUCAAAUUUCUCUUUAUUUUGGUACAAAACCACCAAGUCUUCAUGCUUACUUGAGGACUUGAGGAUUGGCACAUAUCUGUGUACAGAAGCAUAAAAUUUCAUUGGAGUGUAUACAGCAGGCAUAACGAAAUUCUUACUGGGAGCUCACUACUACCCUUGAAAAGAAAAGUGUAAAAUCAUUGCAUUCUACCGGUACUAAUAUAUGGGGUGGAAACGUGGAGGUUAACAAAGAAGCUCGAGAACAAGUUAAGGACCACACAAAGGCGGCUGCAUUUUGAUGGGGGCUAAAUGCGAAAACACUCGUGUACUUAGGUUUAGGCGCACGUUCCCCAGGUGGUCCAAAUUUCCGGAGUCCCCCACUACGGCGUGCCUCAUAAUCAGAUCGUGGUUUUGGCACGUAAACCCCAUAAUCUAAAGUUCGAUGGAACGAAAAUGUUAAGCUUCACGUUAAGAGACCGGCGUGCAGCGGUGCUGUCACGGAGGGGCAUCUUUAUUCAAGACGCGACACGCCGAUUACGGAUCCCGAAGUGUGCGUCUACGGCCACGUGGUAGUGCCAGGCUCGACCUUGGCCCUUGACCUUGGGGGAGAGGAGAAUCUGCGUUUGUCGUCCAUGGUGAAAGGGACGCGUCCAAGACUUUUGGGAGCUACGAGCCGUGAAUUCGGAGAACUCUACAGACCGGCAGUUUCCCUACAUAGGGAACUAGGGAAAGGAGAUUCUAUUUAAGUGCAGGUUUUGGGCCCUGCUGAUUAGUCUAGAAGCUGACCCAUGCGCUGCUGAGAAGACGUUGGGGGCCUAGUGGCGUCCAGUAUCGCCUGGGCCGCCUGGCCGCGUUGGAGCUCCAAGUAACUAGUUGGCGUACGAGACGUCAAACCAGCGUCUGCAACGAAGUUCACGGUAGUUCGCCUCAAGUUAGCUCAACCUUCUUGAGAGAAGACGUCAGAUCUAGACUCCCCGGAAACCUAGCCCAGCAAUUCGCAUCCACCUCGACAAGAUCGGACCGACAGCAUUCUUCGGGAAAGCUUUGUGCACCGGCUUCGCAAUUCAUGGACUUGCUGCUGCUGGCCGGCCAUGCGUAUGACACCAGUUGUUUUUCUUUUGGACUUUGUUUCAGCGAAAUGCUGUUAAGUGUAUUCUUGUGUAUUUGAUCCUCGUACUGUUUCAUUUUUAUACCUACUGUUAAUCGCUCGUAUUUAUUUGUCCUCAUCAUUGUGUAUAUUAAGCUCAGGUGUGUCAGUCUGUAUUGUGUUUUCUUUAUUAUUUUAUUUUAUAAUUUGUGUAUAUUUAUCAGACGAUAAAUAUCUAG